GUUGCUCUCUCGCUUACUCUUACUAAGUAAACUAUUGUUGCUCCUCUCUUAUGUCGCGUUGUUAAAUCUUUUGUCGCGUUGUUACAUUUUUUGCAUUGAAAGAUAAUUUUUUUAAUUUUUGUUUGGAUCGGUGGCGGUGGGCAGCAAAUGCAGGUCCCUACAAAGCCAAUCAACUAAACAAUUAGCUAAAAGUGUUUCAAAUAGUUGACAAAAAGAAAACGAAAUACAAGUAUUUUCUCCAUACGCUGAGAACUGGCCAAGUGUGUGUGUGCGUGUGUGAGUGUGUGGCCCUGUGUGAGUGCUUUUGGUAAUAUAAACAUUAACUUGAGAUUCGAGCAAAGGCACAGCGAGUGUGUAGCCAAAGAGCGAGUCAGAGAGCGAGAGAGUGAACAAAUCUAGCGGCCGGCUAUCAUAAACGAAGAGAGCGCGCGAGAGAGAGAGAGCUAGAGACAGAGAAACUCUUCAUCUUGUUAUCGUAUUCCUUUUUAUUUAUUUUUUUGUUUGGUUUGUUGUUGUUAUUGUCGUGUCUGUGUCUGUCUUUUGAAGUCAAGAAAAAGGAAAGAAGAAAGAGAAAUAUUACUGUUGUUGCCGCCGCCUACCCACUACUGCAGCUGCAGCUCCCCUUUCCCUAGA